rnacentral:rRNA from 1 species
UACGUAGGGGGCAAGCGUUGUCCGGAUUCAUUGGGCGUAAAGAGCGUGUAGGCGGCCAGGUAGGUCGGUUGUGAAAACUGGAGGCUCAACCUUCAGAGGUCGACCGAAACCAUCUGGCUAGAGUCCGGGAGAGGAGAGUGGAAUUCCUGGCGUAGCGGUGAAAUGCGCAGAUAUCAGGAGGAAUACCUAUGGCGAAAGCAGGUAUCUGGGCCAUCACUGACGCUGAGCUGCGAAAGCUAGGGGAGCAAACAGG